UUAACUUACAAAUUAUGCAUAUAUACUUGAUAGAUUGAAAAGGUUCGGAGGCAUUGAGGAAAGGAAAAGUAUUGGAGAAGUAGCUUGCUUGACUUCGGUUCUUCGGUGGAGGUAGGUUAUGGUUUAUUCUAUUUGAUAGAUAAACUCUUAAUAGCGAUUGAUAUGCAUUGAAUGAUACUGUGAAGUUCUCUAUGUACUUGAUUGUGUG
rnacentral:lncRNA from 1 species